rnacentral:rRNA from 1 species
UACGUAGGGGGCAAGCGUUGUCCGGAUUCAUUGGGCGUAAAGAGCUCGUAGGCGGUUCAGUAAGUCGGGUGUGAAAUCUCCGUGCUCAACACGGAGCGGCCACCUGAUACUGCUGUGACUCGAGUCCGGUAGGGGAGUGUGGAAUUCCCGGUGUAGCGGUGAAAUGCGCAGAUAUCGGGAGGAACACCAGUGGCGAAGGCGGCUAACUGGUCCGGUACUGACGCUGAGGUGCGAAAGCGUGGGGAGCAAACAGG